rnacentral:rRNA from 1 species
CAAGUCGAGCGGGGAAGAGUAGCUUGCUACUUUACCUAGCGGCGGACGGGUGAGUAAUGCUUAGGAAUCUGCCUAUUAGUGGGGGACAACAUCUCGAAAGGGAUGCUAAUACCGCAUACGUCCUACGGGAGAAAGCAGGGGACCUUCGGGCCUUGCGCUAAUAGAUGAGCCUAAGUCGGAUUAGCUAGUUGGUGGGGUAAAGGCCUACCAAGGCGACGAUCUGUAGCGGGUCUGAGAGGAUGAUCCGCCACACUGGGACUGAGACACGGCCCAGACUCCUACGGGAGGCAGCAGUGGGGAAUAUUGGACAAUGGGGGGAACCCUGAUCCAGCCAUGCCGCGUGUGUGAAGAAGGCCUUUUGGUUGUAAAGCACUUUAAGCGAGGAGGAGGCUACCGAGAUUAAUACUCUUGGAUAGUGGACGUUACUCGCAGAAUAAGCACCGGCUAACUCUGUGCCAGCAGCCGCGGUAAUACAGAGGGU